rnacentral:rRNA from 1 species
GACGAACCGAGCGAACGUUAUUCGGAAUCACUGGGCUUAAAGGGCGCGUAGGCGGGCGAUCAAGUCAGGGGUGAAAGCCCCCAGCUCAACUGGGGAAGUGCCUUUGAUACUGGUCGUCUCGAGGGGGAUAGGGGCGUGCGGAACUUCCGGUGGAGCGGUGAAAUGCGUAGAUAUCGGAAGGAACACCGGUGGCGAAAGCGGCGCGCUGGACCACUACUGACGCUGAGGAACGAAAGCUAGGGGAGCAAACAGG